rnacentral:rRNA from 1 species
GAUGAACGCUGGCGGCGUGCCUAAUACAUGCAAGUCGAGCGAACAGACGAGAGUGCUUGCACUCUCUGACGUUAGCGGCGGACGGGUGAGUAACACGUGGGUAACCUACCUAUAAGACUGGGAUAACUUCGGGAAACCGGAGCUAAUACCGGAUAAUAUUUAGCUUCGCAUGAAGCAAUAGUGAAAGACGGUUCUGCUGUCACUUAUAGAUGGACCCGCGGUGUAUUAGCUAGUUGGUGAGGUAACGGCUCACCAAGGCAACGAUACAUAGCCGACCUGAGAGGGUGAUCGGCCACACUGGGACUGAGACACGGCCCAGGCUCCUACGGGAGGCAGCAGUAGGGAAUCUUCCGCAAUGGACGAAAGUCUGACGGAGCAAUGCCGCGUGAGUGAAGAAGGUUUUCGGAUCGUAAAACUCUGUUGUAAGGGAAGAACAAGUACGUUAGUAACUGAACGUACCUUGACGGUACCUUACCAGAAAGCCACGGCUAACUACGUG